GCCGGGCGAGGUGGCAGGUGCCUGUAGUCCCAGCUACUCGGGAGGCUGAGGCAGGAGAAUGGCGUGAAACUCAGAGGCGGAGCUUGCAGUGAGCUGAGAUGGUGCCAUUGCACUCCAGCCUGGAUNNNNNNNNNNAUCCAGGCUGGAGUGCAAUGGCACCAUCUCAGCUCACUGCAAGCUCCGCCUCUGAGUUUCACGCCAUUCUCCUGCCUCAG
rnacentral:SRP_RNA from 1 species